UUUUUUUUUUUUUUUUUUGCUGUUUUAAGAUUAAGCCCAUGCAUCGGGAAAGUAUAAACCCUUUUUUCCGGUGAAACCGGGGAAAGGGGUCAAUGAAACCAGUCAAUAAAUUUACUGGAUAGUCCCUUAUUACCUUGGAUACCCCCUGGUAAAUUUUAGAGCUAAUACAUGCGCACACAUCCGACUUUUUGAAAGGAUGGUAUUUAUUAGCCGCAAACCACCCGGGCUUGCCCCGUUUUUGGUGACUCAUAAUAACUUUUCGGAUCGCAUGCUUCGGCGGCGACGUGUCAUUCAAAUAUCUGCCCUAUCACCUUUUGACGGUAGGGUAGUGGCCUACCGUCGUGUUAACGGGUAACGGAGAAUUAGGGUUCGAUUCCGGAGAGGGAGCGUGAGAACCGGAUACCACAUCCAAGGAAGGCAGCAGGCGCGCAAAUUACCCAAUCCUGACUCAGGGAGGUAGUGACAAGAAAUAUCAAUGGGCGAUCCAUUUGCGUCGGCCACUUGGAAUGAGAACAGUUUAAAUCACUUAUCGAGUAUCCAUUGGAGGGCAAGUCUGGUGCCAGCAGCCGCGGUAAUUCCAGCUCCAAUAGCGUAUAUAAAAGUUGUUGCAGUUAAAAAGCUCGUAGUCGGAGUUGGGGCGUUUCUGGGUGUGCGUGCCAAUGGUGCGCGCGCUCGGCGGCGUCUUCGCCGUCGUGAGGCCUGCGGUGCUUUAUUGCGCAGUGUGUCGAGCGCCGAUUUUUACUGUGAAAAAAUUAGAGUGUUCAAAGCAGGCGUUUGCUGUGAAUACAUUAGCAUGGGAUAUUGGAAGAAGCUUUUGCUUAUUCGUUGGUUGAUAGGCUGAAAGCAUGGUCAAGAGGAACGGUCGGGGGCACUCGUAUUUCAUUGUCAGAGGUGAAAUUCUUGGAUUUUUGAAAGACGAACAGCUGCGAAAGCGUUUGCCAAGGACGUUUUCAUUGAUCAAGAACGAAAGUUAGGGGAUCGAAGACGAUCAGAUACCGUCGUAGUCUUAACCAUAAACUAUGCCGACUGGGGAUUGGUGGACGUUCCAAUCGACUCCAUCAGCACCCUAGGAGAAAUCAAAGUCUUUGGUUCUGGGGGAGUUUCCACC
rnacentral:rRNA from 1 species